GCCGCCGCCGCCGCCCCCUGCCGCCGCGCCCGGUCCGGCCCCGCCCGGCCCCGGCUUUUAAAGAGACCGCGGGUCCGCGCCCCGGCACGGCGCGGCUCCGGCAGAAGCCGUCGCUCCCUGCGCGUCCCGCGGCGGCGCGGACGCCUCCUCCGGGACGGCCGCCCUCCGAUCCCUGCGCUUCGGCGCCGCCGUUUCCGCGCCGACGAAGGCGGGGGAUUUCCGUCCCCGCGGCCCCGGCGGGGGAACGAGACCUGUUCGCCGGCACGCGCGGAGCCGUCCCGGGGCAGGAGACAACAGCAAGAUCCCUUUCCAAGGAGAUUGGCACAGAUUUAUACACCUGGUCACCCCUCUGACACUGCUCCCACCACUGGACAGAAGAAGCAAAGAGAAAAUAUUUUAAGAAAAAUGGAAAAAAGAAAAAACCUAUCGUAAAGGGUUAUGAUGCAUAUUUAAUGAAGGAGCCAAGAGAAGUGCCUGCCAUACAAAGGAGCUAAUCAGUCAAUCAAGAAUCAGCUCACCAGACAGAAGCCGUCAGCGCCUAACUUCUCCAUCUCCACCUGUCCAGAGAAACAACAAAACAGCAUGGAACAUGCCUGACAAUCGAGUGCAAAAGAGUGCAAGCAUUUAUGUAUUUCUAAGCAUUAAAGGGGCAAGACGUUGCAAAUUAAAAUUUUCAAAAAUAGAAACAACAAACCCAGCACCACACGUGUAUUGAUGUGCAUUUGAAGUAAGGCUGAGUGGCUGCCUUUCAUCCUUUUGAAAACACUAGCAGUCCUCACUAUGCAGAAGGGUAAGAGGCAAGAACUGCUAUAAUUGGACUAAAUUGAUUUUUUUUUUUUUUGCCAUAAACUUGCCAAUCUGGAUCAGUUAAGUGAAUGGUAACUUAGAGAACAAAAUACAUCUCUUAAAACCAAAAUCAGCAGAGUUACGGGAGCUGUAUGGCUUUCUAUUAUUAUAUUUCUAUUAUAUGGCCAAAGCAUAAGGGUCGUAAUCUUUACUUCCCAGGUCUAAUACUGGCUGACUGAGCAGGCUGAGGCAAAACACAUUUUAUCUGCCUCAAUUUCCCAGACUAGAAAAGGAUAACAUAGCCUACCCCAAUUAUAUGGAGAUGAUUCGGUUUUGCAGCUGGCUUCAUUAAUAUUCAUA
rnacentral:lncRNA from 1 species